GCAGACACACUCUGUUCUUUGCUGUUCACUCCAGCUUGGGACUUUUUCUGUCUGCUACAUGAACACACAGGAUGUACCAGUGCUAGCUUUACUACAGGGCUGGCGUCAGUAUGUUCUGGGACACACAC
ensembl:snoRNA SNORA77B small nucleolar RNA, H/ACA box 77B